GAUGUUAAAGAUUAAGCCAUGCAUGUGUAAGUAUAAAGACCAAGAAGGAUGAAACUGCGAACGGCUCAUUACAACAGUUAUAAUUUCUUUGAUUAGUAAAAUAUAAGGAAUACCUUUGUGAAUAAUAAAGAUAAUACUUGAAACGAUCCUAAUUGAAUCAAAUCAAUUAGGCAUAAUUAUCAACCGAUAGUUAUAGGAAAGAAGUUUAUUAAGAAAAAGAACAAAUUUUACAAUUGUAGAAAUCGUAAGAUUUUAACAAGUAAUCAAUGAAAAUAUCUGAUCUAUCAACUAGUUGGUAGUAUAGAGGACUACCAAGGUUAUAACGGAUAACGAGAAAUUAGGGUUUGACAUCGGAGAAGGAGCUUUAAAAAUGGCUACUACUUCUAAGGAAGGCAGCAGGCGCGUAAAUUACCCACUUUUAACAUAAAGAGGUAGUGACGACAAAUAACUCUUUUAAAGCCGUAAGGUUUUAAUUGAAGGAAUGAAUAUAAUGUAAAUAAUUAUAUGAAAGCAAUUGGAGGGCAAGUCUGGUGCCAGCAGCCGCGGUAAUUCCAGCUCCAAUAGUGAGAC
rnacentral:rRNA from 1 species